rnacentral:rRNA from 1 species
GAUGAACGCUGGCGGCGUGCCUAAUACAUGCAAGUCGAGCGAACAGAUAAGGAGCUUGCUCCUUUGACGUUAGCGGCGGACGGGUGAGUAACACGUGGGUAACCUACCUAUAAGACUGGGAUAACUUCGGGAAACCGGAGCUAAUACCGGAUAAUAUUUUGAACCGCAUGGUUCGAUAGUGAAAGAUGGUUUUGCUAUCACUUAUAGAUGGACCCGCGCCGCAUUAGCUAGUUGGUAAGGUAACGGCUUACCAAGGCGACGAUACGUAGCCGACCUGAGAGGGUGAUCGGCCACACUGGAACUGAGACACGGUCCAGACUCCUACGGGAGGCAGCAGUAGGGAAUCUUCCGCAAUGGGCGAAAGCCUGACGGAGCAACGCCGCGUGAGUGAUGAAGGUCUUCGGAUCGUAAAACUCUGUUAUUAGGGAAGAACAUACGUGUAAGUAACUGUGCACGUCUUGACGGUACCUAAUCAGAAAGCCACGGCUAACUACGUG